CACGUUACCAACUAUAAAUAGAGCCUCUGAAUCCUGCUCAAUUCAGUUUUUUAGUUCACUGAUCUUAAGCGCCAUUAUGAAUUUGGGUCACUUAUUGGUUUGCGUUGCUAUUAUUGCUAACAUAGCGAGUAUAGCUUCUACGUUGUUCGUACAAGGUGGAGGCAGCGGAAGAAAAAGAGACGAACUUACAACAGAUACUAACAAGGAUUGGCUGAACAAAUUUCAAGAGUACAAAUCUCUGCUUAAAAAAAUCCAGGAUUUACAACAGACGACUACAACGAUUUUUGCAAGCCCAAAGACGGAUCGAUAGAAUUGUAAUCACUUAAUAAUGUGAUCAGAGUUAUUAUAAAUUAAAAAUUAUUGUCAGA